rnacentral:rRNA from 1 species
GUCUGACCUGCCCAAUGAAAUAUUUGAAUGGCCGCGGUAUUUUGACCGUGCAAAGGUAGCAUAAUCAUUUGUCUUUUAAUUUGAGGCUAGAAUGAAUGGUUGGACGAGAUAUCUGCUUUUUUUGAUAUAAAUCUUGAAUUUAAUUUUUGAGUCAAAAAGCUUAGAUUAGUUUGAGGGACGAGAAGACCCUAUAGAACUUUAUUUCUUCUAUAGCCCCUAUAAUUUUUUGUAUUCCUUAUAGGGGCUAUAGAAGAAAUUGUGUUGGGGUGACAUGGAAAUUUUAUUAACUUUCUUUAUUCUAUAUUCAUAGAUGAGUGUAUUUUUAGAUCCAAUUUUUUUGAUUAUAAGUUUAAGUUACCUUAGGGAUAACAGCGUUAUUUUUUCGGAGAGUUCUCAUUGAUGAAAGAGUUUGCGACCUCGAUGUUGGAUUAAAAUUAGUAUUAGGAGUAGAAGAUUAAAUACUAGGUCUGUUCGACCUUUAAAAUUUUACA